rnacentral:rRNA from 1 species
UACGAAGGGGGCUAGCGUUGUUCGGAAUGACUGGGCGUAAAGGGUGUGUAGGCGGUUAGACGCGUCAGAUGUGAAAUCCCCGGGCUUAACCUGGGAAUGGCAUUUGCUACGGUCUGGCUAGAGUUUGGUAGAGGGUAGUGGAAUUGCGAGUGUAGAGGUGAAAUUCGUAGAGAUUCGCAGGAACAUCGGUGGCGAAGGCGGCUACCUGGGCCAUAACUGACGCUGAGGCACGAAAGCGUGGGGAGCAAAC